rnacentral:rRNA from 1 species
CAGUCGCCGCGGUAAGACAGAGGAUGCAAGCGUUAUCCGGAAUGAUUGGGCGUAAAGCGUCUGUAGGUGGCUUUUCAAGUCCACCGUCAAAUCCCAGGGCUCAACCCUGGACAAGCGGUGGAAACUACCAAGCUGGAGUACGGUAGGGGCAGAUGGAGUUUCCGGUGGAGCGGUGAAAUGCGUUGAGAUCAGAAAGAACACCAACGGCGAAAGCACUCUGCUGGGCCGACACUGACACUGAGAGACGAAAGCUAGGGGAGCAAAUGGGAUUAGAGACCCCCGUAGUCCCUGUCUCUUAUAC